GAGAGCCGUAUGCGGGAGAUCCGCACGUACGGUUCGGAGGGGGGAGGGACUCGGCAACGAGUCCUUCCUACCCCUAU
rfam:Desulfacinum infernum DSM 9756 genome assembly, contig: EJ47DRAFT_scaffold00032.32